UACGUAGGUGGCAAGCGUUGUCCGGAAUUACUGGGUGUAAAGGAUGCGUAGGCGGAUAUGUAAGUCAGAUGUGAAACCCCCGGGCUUAACCCGGGGCAUGCAUUUGAGACUGCAUAUCUAGAGUGCAGGAGAGGAAAGCGGAAUUCCUAGUGUAGCGGUGAAAUGCGUAGAUAUUAGGAAGAACACCAGUGGCGAAGGCGGCUUUCUGGACUGUAACUGACGCUGAUGCAUGAAAGCGUGGGGAGCAAACAGG
rnacentral:rRNA from 2 species